rnacentral:rRNA from 1 species
GUGACCUCAAAUCAGGUAGGACUACCCGCUGAACUUAAGCAUAUCAAUAAGCGGAGGAAAAGAAACUAACAAGGAUUCCCCUAGUAACUGCGAGUGAAGCGGGAAAAGCUCAAAUUUAAAAUCUGGCGGUCUUUUGGCUGUCCGAGUUGUAAUCUAGAGAAGUGUUAUCCGCGCUGGACCGUGUACAAGUCUCCUGGAAUGGAGCAUCAUAGAGGGUGAGAAUCCCGUCUUUGACAUGGGCUGCCAGGGCUUUGUGAUGCGCUCUCAAAGAGUCGAGUUGUUUGGGAAUGCAGCUCAAAAUGGGUGGUAAAUUCCAUCUAAAGCUAAAUAUUGGCGAGAGACCGAUAGCGAACAAGUACCGUGAGGGAAAGAUGAAAAGAACUUUGGAAAGAGAGUUAAACAGUACGUGAAAUUGCUGAAAGGGAAACGCUUGAAGUCAGUCGCGUCGUCCAGGGAUCAACCUUGCUUUUGCUUGGUGCACUUUCUGGUUUGACGGGUCAGCAUCAAUUUUGACUGUUGGAAAAAGGCUGAGGGAAUGUGGCAUCUUUGGAUGUGUUAUAGCCCUUGGUCACAUGCAAUGGUUGGGAUUGAGGAACUCAGCACGCCGCAAGGCCGGGUUUUAAACCACGUACGUGCUA